rnacentral:lncRNA from 1 species
AGUAUACAUGUAUUUCCGAGGCAGUUGGCAGGCUGUUGAGUUAUGUCACACCCCCGAACCAGACGGCGGAAACGUCCGAGGGCUGUUGUGACUCAAUUGAAUACCAUUACAUUAAAUAUACAUGAAACAUAACAUCAUUCAUCACCAUGCAUUGAGAUAGUAUAACUGGUAGAGUUUACAUUUAGUACAUUGUUUUAAACAUUACAUCCCCAAAAAUAAAUUGUUCGAUAAUAGUUAAACAAACAGCAAGUCAUCACUGAGUACAUUUUUCCCUCGGUUUACCUGUUACCUGAGAAUACAAGUAUUUUGAAAAACGUCAACAUAUGAAAUGUUGGUGAGUUCAUAAGCAAUGUUUGAAAAAUAAUGUUUUGUAUUGUUUUGCAAACCACCAGAAAAUCCGAUAUUUUCUGAGAAAAGUAUCGUAAAAAAAAAGUGUGAAGAUCCGUAAGUAUGCUUGUUUAUUUCUAUAAGUGUAAAAAGAAUUUGUUAUACUUGGUGUGCAUCUCAUAGUUGUAUGUAUUGAAUAACCCUAGGAAAACCCGAUGUUUUCCUAACACUUUGAAUUCCGUAUAGUUGUUGUACCAUCGCGGUAUGUGAAGUCAUUGAUUCCAGGUGACAUUGGAUUAAAUGUGCAUUGUGAAUUGUUAUAAACACGCGUUAACACAAACGACUAGUUUACAACUAUACUAACGAUCCUUUAGGCGUCGUCCGUACUAUUCACUUAAUCUAACCACCCUGACUUCUCGUAGCCCCACAACCGAGGAGAAAAGAGGGCACGAAGACCUUAAUAAUCCCCUUUGUCGUUCAAGGCUAUAGUGAAUGCGAAGGGCCUUUGGCCCGACCCGCAUUUUUGAGAAUUCUCGACUUUACUAGCAGUACUAAAGGACCCUUGGGGCCUAAUAGUAUAAAAGCCAUUGAAAGUCCUUUUACACGGUGUUGGGUCAUGUAAGACCCAACAACUUGUAAGGAAGUUGUCUUCGGGCCUAAAGAUCAGGUCAUUGGGCUAGCUAGGCCCAACAAGCAAGAUUUGACACUUUUGGGCUCAAAGAUGGUGUAUCGACGUCUGUGUAUUCCCACGUAUGUAUUGAUUUCUCUAAUUUUCCGAGUGUGUAUUGAAUUGUCGUCGUGUUAGUAGUUUUGGAUUCGUUAUUGAUUCGAGACCGAAUCAAUUCGUUUGACAAUGAUUUUUGGUGUUGGUUGUGUAUUAUGCUUUGUCGGUAGUCGCAGUACCAAUAUUUUAUCACAACGGAUUUAUUGUUUAAAACAUUGAAGUUUUUCUGUUUACAGCCCCUUUCUUUUGUAAGUUUACAUUUUUAACCCUUUGAAUAAAAUAAUUUCCGAUUUAGUCCUUAAACCAUUUUUCUUGACAUUAUAGUAUCAAAACUUGUUGGAAAUGAUAUUUUCUAGCUCAUAUUCAUUUGAAAACAGUUUUAGUCCCUCAAAAUGUAGUUUUCUUGGCUGAAACCUCAUUUUUUCGCAACUUUUACACUUUUGGCCCAAAAUAGAAAAUUUUUGCAUCUUUGGUCCUUUUUAAUUAUGAAAAGCAUUUUUAACCCUUGAAAUGGACUUGGAGCACUAGUAGUCCCCUGUUUUACAGAAAAAUACAGUUUCAGCCCCUCAAAUUUGAAAAUCUCGCAUAUUGGGCUUUAUUGGGCCGAAAAUUUCAUUUUUGGCCCAUUAUGCUUAAAAUUUUACAUUUUAAUCCCUCAAAAGAAUAUAUUUCCAGAAAAUACAUUAUUGAAACUGUUUUGACAUAUUUCAACCAUCAGAAUUUGUAUCUUGUCAUUUUGGGCCCUUUAACUUUAUAUUUUUAACAUUUUGAGUCCAAAAAUGAGUUUUUAGCCCAAAGAAGUUAAUAUUAAACAACUUGGUUAUUUUUCUAGAUAUGAUUUGUAUGUAGUAAUAUAAUUUAUGCUAGUAUCCUAUAACCCAAAGUAAACCUCGGUUUUNGUAUAAGACCUGCAAUAUGUUUCUUUCAUAUUCUUCACUAAAAUCUCAGAAGCACCAUUUACCUCAUUAAAUAAAAGAGAUGGCAGGUGCAUUUUACUUAUUUGUCUUAUUAACGUUUUCUUCUAUUUUAUCUCUCCAAUGCUUCUUCUUUCAACCACUCAAUCUCUAUGGAGGCUCGACACAAUCAUUUAGGUCAUCGGUACUUCUUCCCCACUUCGUCGCUUCGAAAGAAAUGGGAGAGAGUGAGAUCGGUACAACAGCCCCAAGGGGUAGGUGUGCUUGGGUCGUUUCUUUGAGUUGACAGAGGUGUUUGGAUUGUUGUUCAAAUCAAUAGGGACAGUGGAGGAAAAAGAAAGAGGCUGGGCAGGUUCAUGAAUGGGGUCUUCUGGGUUAUCCAGGUCAGAUUUCUCAUCGCUUUUCCCAUUUUGCCCUUGUGGAAAGAACUUUUUUUUUGAAACUAAAGGGUAUAUAUGUCAUUGGGCAGCAAGUAUACAUGUAUUUCCGAGGCAGUUGGCAGGCUGUUGAGUUAUGUCACACCCCCGAACCAGACGGCGGAAACGUCCGAGGGCUGUUGUGACUCAAUUGAAUACCAUUACAUUAAAUAUACAUGAAACAUAACAUCAUUCAUCACCAUGCAUUGAGAUAGUAUAACUGGUAGAGUUUACAUUUAGUACAUUGUUUUAAACAUUACAUCCCCAAAAAUAAAUUGUUCGAUAAUAGUUAAACAAACAGCAAGUCAUCACUGAGUACAUUUUUCCCUCGGUUUACCUGUUACCUGAGAAUACAAGUAUUUUGAAAAACGUCAACAUAUGAAAUGUUGGUGAGUUCAUAAGCAAUGUUUGAAAAAUAAUGUUUUGUAUUGUUUUGCAAACCACCAGAAAAUCCGAUAUUUUC